rnacentral:rRNA from 1 species
AUUGAACGCUGGCGGCAGGCCUAACACAUGCAAGUCGAGCGGAUGAGGGAAGCUUGCUUCCUGAUUUAGCGGCGGACGGGUGAGUAAUGCCUAGGAAUCUGCCUGUUAGUGGGGGAUAACUCGGGGAAACUCGGGCUAAUACCGCAUACGUCCUACGGGAGAAAGUGGGGGAUCUUCGGACCUCACGCUAACAGAUGAGCCUAGGUCGGAUUAGCUAGUAGGGGAGGUAAUGGCUCACCUAGGCGACGAUCCGUAACUGGUCUGAGAGGAUGAUCAGUCACACUGGAACUGAGACACGGUCCAGACUCCUACGGGAGGCAGCAGUGGGGAAUAUUGGACAAUGGGCGAAAGCCUGAUCCAGCCAUGCCGCGUGUGUGAAGAAGGUCUUCGGAUUGUAAAGCACUUUAAGUUGGGAGGAAGGGUAUUCACCUAAUACGUGGGUACUUUGACGUUACCAACAGAAUAAGCACCGGCUAACUCUGUGCCAGCCGCCGCCGUAAGAC